UUUCCCGAUUCCCACUCUAUACUGGAAAUACCCUCAACCUCCCGAUGAUAGGAAACAUCAACCAAAGAGAAGCUUUUGAAAAUCUGGAUAUGAAUAAUAACAAUACCACCAAAGCUUAAGAGACACCACGUUUCCAGCACCUCUGCUCCCUCUUGUGUCGCCUGCCCAAUCACAUCAUCUGUCUCCACCCAACCUAUAAAGGUGACGUGGGUUUGAUUCCUG